UUAAAAGAGCGCACAAUUCUAUCUGCUAGAAAUGAUGAUGUCAAUAAUAUCAACCUAGCUGCGUUGGCGGUUUUUUCGGGAGAAAUACAUACAUACUUCGCUGCUGACAAAAUGGUUGAAGAUGAUGAUGUGGAUCGGACUAUUAUGCAUCGGUACCCGAAUGAAUAUUUGAACACACUCAAUCCCCCUGGACUGCCAC
rnacentral:lncRNA from 1 species